rnacentral:ncRNA from 1 species
GAUCUCUCAGGAUCGCUGGAGUUGAGUUGAUUAUAAUUUUAUAAGGUAGAGACAAUGAUUAGAGGGUUUAGGGGAUUAAAUAUUUCUUAACCUAUUCUCAAACUUCCAAUAUGUAAAGAGGGUGCGAUAUCUGAAAAGUAUUUCACUUUGGCGUAAAUAAGAUAACUCCAAGUGGGCCAUUUUUGGUAAGCAGAACUGGCGAUGAGGGAUGCUCCU